rnacentral:lncRNA from 1 species
GAGUAGAUGAAGAAUUGUCAGUCGAAUUUUUUACCGUUAGCACAUCACAUUGUCAUAAAAUGGCAGCGAUUAAUUAGAAAAUGAAAUUGUCAGAUUAGUUUCUUAUUGUCACCGUGGCGCCUGCAGAUUCCAAACAAGCCGUGCUGGCUCUUGAUAUGGAAUUAUAUAUACGAUCAAUAACAGCCUAUUAAUUUGCAUAGGAAGAUGGAAUAGGUAUGACUUAUGAGUGAAUGGUAGCCGCAGAUGUAUACAGAUAUCGUUAGACUGUAACGUGAUAAAGCAAAACAGGAGGGAGCUGGAAAAGUAACUGGGAUUAGCUUGUACGUGGAAAAUGAAAAUUGUAAGCAUGCAUGCAGCAGCGGAGUAGAGAGUACUACGAACUGAAAGAGAAAGUGCUCAAGGAGAUGAUCAUGAAUGAGAUCACUAGCUUGGUGAUUUAGACAUGUCAACCGGCUCAUGCUCAUGCUCAUGCAUCAAGUGUCAGAGUCAGAGAUGCAGCUGCUGCUGCUGCAACGUCGUACGUACAUACCGACAUAUAAUUAAACCUACCUCAGUCAGUCAACCUUGACCUACGAUAUGCGCUUGCCCUUUCAUGAUCAUCUAUCUUGUUCUUGUUGCUCCUGUCUUCUUGUGUUUAAC